GAUGAAGAACGUAGCGAAAUGCGAUAAGUAAUGUGAAUUGCAGAAUUCAGUGAAUCAUCGAAUCUUUGAACGCACCUUGCGCCCCUUGGUUAUUCCAAAGGGCAUGCCUGUUUGAGUAUCAUGAACACCUCAACUCUUGUGGUUUCCCACAAUGAGCUUGGACUGUGGAGGUUUUGUUGGCCCUGUGGUCAGCUCCUCUCAAAUGGAUCAGCUUACCGGUGUUUGGUGGCAUUACGGGUGUGAUAACUAUCUACGCUCGUGGUCGUCUCCAAAUAACCUCCAGUGAUGGAGGUUCGCUGGAGCUUAUAAAUGUCUCUCCCCAGUGAAGACAGCCUUUGAACGUUCGAUCUCAAAGCAGGUAGGACUACCCGCUGAACUUAAGCAUAUCAAUAAGCGGAGGA
rnacentral:misc_RNA from 1 species